GGUUAAGCGACUAAGCGUACACGGUGGAUGCCCUGGCAGUCAGAGGCGAUGAAGGGCGUGCUAAUCUGCGAUAAGCGCCGGUAAGGUGAUAUGAACCGUUAUAACCGGCGAUACCCGAAUGGGGAAACCCAGUGUGACUCGUCACACUAUCAUUAACUGAAUCCAUAGGUUAAUGAGGCGAACCGGGGGAACUGAAACAUCUAAGUACCCCGAGGAAAAGAAAUCAACCGAGAUUCCCCCAGUAGCGGCGAGCGAACGGGGAGGAGCCCAGAGCCUGAAUCAGCAUGUGUGUUAGUGGAAGCGUCUGGAAAGGCGCGCGAUACAGGGUGACAGCCCCGUACACAAAAGCGCAUGUGCUGUGAGCUCGAUGAGUAGGGCGGGACACGUGGUAUCCUGUCUGAAUAUGGGGGGACCAUCCUCCAAGGCUAAAUACUCCUGACUGACCGAUAGUGAACCAGUACCGUGAGGGAAAGGCGAAAAGAACCCCGGCGAGGGGAGUGAAAAAGAACCUGAAACCGUGUACGUACAAGCAGUGGGAGCACAGGUUUACCUGUGUGACUGCGUACCUUUUGUAUAAUGGGUCAGCGACUUAUAUUCUGUAGCAAGGUUAACCGUAUAGGGGAGCCGUAGGGAAACCGAGUCUUAACCGGGCGUUAAGUUGCAGGGUAUAGACCCGAAACCCGGUGAUCUAGCCAUGGGCAGGUUGAAGGUUGGGUAACACUAACUGGAGGACCGAACCGACUAAUGUUGAAAAAUUAGCGGAUGACCUGUGGCUGGGGGUGAAAGGCCAAUCAAACCGGGAGAUAGCUGGUUCUCCCCGAAAGCUAUUUAGGUAGCGCCUCGUGAAUUCAUCUCCGGGGGUAGAGCACUGUUUCGGCUAGGGGGCCAUCCCGGCUUACCAACCCGAUGCAAACUGCGAAUACCGGAGAAUGUUAUCACGGGAGACACACGGCGGGUGCUAACGUCCGUCGUGAAGAGGGAAACAACCCAGACCGCCAGCUAAGGUCCCAAAGUCAUGGUUAAGUGGGAAACGAUGUGGGAAGGCCCAGACAGCCAGGAUGUUGGCUUAGAAGCAGCCAUCAUUUAAAGAAAGCGUAAUAGCUCACUGGUCGAGUCGGCCUGCGCGGAAGAUGUAACGGGGCUAAACCAUGCACCGAAGCUGCGGCAGCGACGCUGAUGCGUUGUUGGGUAGGGGAGCGUUCUGUAAGCCUGCGAAGGUGGCCUGUGAGGGUUGCUGGAGGUAUCAGAAGUGCGAAUGCUGACAUAAGUAACGAUAAAGCGGGUGAAAAGCCCGCUCGCCGGAAGACCAAGGGUUCCUGUCCAACGUUAAUCGGGGCAGGGUGAGUCGACCCCUAAGGCGAGGCCGAAAGGCGUAGUCGAUGGGAAACGGGUUAAUAUUCCCGUACUUGGUGUUACUGCGAAGGGGGGACGGAGAAGGCUAUGUUGGCCGGGCGACGGUUGUCCCGGUUUAAGCGUGUAGGUGUGUGUUCCAGGUAAAUCCGGUUCACUUUAACACUGAGGCGUGAUGACGAGGCACUACGGUGCUGAAGCAACAAAUGCCCUGCUUCCAGGAAAAGCCUCUAAGCAUCAGGUAACAUCAAAUCGUACCCCAAACCGACACAGGUGGUCAGGUAGAGAAUACCAAGGCGCUUGAGAGAACUCGGGUGAAGGAACUAGGCAAAAUGGUGCCGUAACUUCGGGAGAAGGCACGCUGACACGUAGGUGAAGUGAUUUACUCAUGGAGCUGAAGUCAGUCGAAGAUACCAGCUGGCUGCAACUGUUUAUUAAAAACACAGCACUGUGCAAACACGAAAGUGGACGUAUACGGUGUGACGCCUGCCCGGUGCCGGAAGGUUAAUUGAUGGGGUCAGCGCAAGCGAAGCUCCUGAUCGAAGCCCCGGUAAACGGCGGCCGUAACUAUAACGGUCCUAAGGUAGCGAAAUUCCUUGUCGGGUAAGUUCCGACCUGCACGAAUGGCGUAAUGAUGGCCAGGCUGUCUCCACCCGAGACUCAGUGAAAUUGAACUCGCUGUGAAGAUGCAGUGUACCCGCGGCAAGACGGAAAGACCCCGUGAACCUUUACUAUAGCUUGACACUGAACAUUGAGCCUUGAUGUGUAG
rnacentral:rRNA from 1 species